rnacentral:rRNA from 1 species
AGUGAACGCUGGCGGUAGGCCUAACACAUGCAAGUCGAACGGCAGCACAGUAAGAGCUUGCUCUUACGGUUGGCGAGUGGCGGACGGGUGAGGAAUACAUCGGAAUCUGCUUUUUCGUGGGUGAUAACGUAGGGAAACUUCCCCUAUUACCUCAUACUACCUCCGGUUGAAAUCCGGGGUUCUUCGUCCCUUUCGCUUUUGAUUUCGCCGAUUUCGGAUUAGCUAGUUGGCGGGGUAAAGGCCCACCAAGGCGACGAUCCGUAGCUGGUCUGAGAGGAGGAUCAGCCACACUGGAACUGAGACACGGUCCAGACUACUACGGGAGGCAGCAGUGGGGAAUAUUGGACAAUGGGCGAAAGCCUGAUCCAGCAAUACCGCGUGGGUGAAGAAGGCCUUCGGGUUGUAAAGCCCUUUUGUUGGGAAAGAAAAGCAGCAGGUUAAUACCCCGCUGUUCCGACGGUACCCAAAGAAUAAGCACCGGCUAACUACGUG